AGGGGUGUAGCUCAGCUUGGUAGAGCAGCGGUCUCCAAAACCGCAGGUCGCGGGUUCGAGUCCUGCCGCCCCUGCCA
rnacentral:tRNA from 1 species